rnacentral:lncRNA from 1 species
UCCCUUAUAUUUAUAUCAAAAUUGUUUACAUAGGAGUAGGACUACUUAAUUAUCCUUAACGUACACCUUAACGAGUUCUUGUACAAAAAGAAAAUAGAAAACGUAUCUCUAAUACGAUAAAAGUCUGCAAUAAAACAGGGUAAAAAUACGUGCCCACCAUAACAAAAAUUGAUUUCUUCUGUGAAUAUGUCUAAUAGAUGUCAUAUGAAGCAGGUCCAAUUUGUAAGCUCCUUUUGCCAAAUCAGGCAAUCUGUUACGAGAAGAGAUAACUCUGUUAGUUCUUCCUAUACUCCAUUUAGCCAACGCAUCCACAUCCUGAUUAUCUUCUCUAUAACAAUGUUGGAUCUUGCAAUCGCCAUGUUCAAUUUGUAUCUUGGCCUCCUGUAUAGUGUCUUUCAUCUGCCAUGGGAUAUUGCUCUUUCCCAAUAACAGAUAUACUCCAUUUAUAUGACUCACUUCUCAUUUUAAAUAGUCAGUUUCAAAAUGAAUGACACAUUGUGAUAUUUAGUCACAAUUGAACUUUAAAAAUCUCAUAUUACCCAUGAAAUGAUUUAUAUCCACACAAACAUCUAUCACUUAUUUUUUACCAUAAGUUUCAAAGUCUUUUUUUCUUUC